rnacentral:rRNA from 1 species
UACAGAGGGUGCAAGCGUUUAUCGGAUUUCCUGGGCGUAAAGCGUGCGUUGGCGGCUCGCUAAGUCGGUUGUUAAAUCCCUGGGCUUAACCUGGGAACUGCAGUCGAUACUGGCGGACUAGAGUACGGUAGAGGGUGGCGGAACUCCGGGUGUAGCGGUGAAAUGCGUAGAUAUCCGGAAGAACACCGAUGGCGAAGGCAACCACCUGGGCCUGUACUGACGCUGAGGUACGAAAGCGUGGGGAGCAAACAGG